GUGGCUGGGGGUGAAAGGCCAAUCAAACCGGGAGAUAGCUGGUUCUCCCCGAAAUCUAUUUAGGUAGAGCCUUGAGCGGACACCUUCGGGGGUAGAGCACUGUUUCGGCUAGGGGUCCAUCCCGGAUUACCAACCCGAUGCAAACUACGAAUACCGAAGAGUGAUACUCAGGAGACACACGGCGGGUGCUAACGUCCGUCGUGGAGAGGGAAACAACCCAGACCGCCAGCUAAGGUCCCAAAGUCUAUAUUAAGUGGGAAACGAAGUGGGAAGGCUUAGACAGCUAGGAUGUUGGCUUAGAAGCAGCCAUCAUUUAAAGAAAGCGUAAUAGCUCACUAGUCGAGUCGGCCUGCGCGGAAGAUGUAACGGGGCUAAAACUAGUCACCGAAGCUGCGGCAUCAGUAGCAAUACUGUUGGGUAGGGGAGCGUUCUGUAAGCGGAUGAAGGUGAAUCGAGAGGUUUGCUGGACGUAUCAGAAGUGCGAAUGCUGACAUAAGUAACGAUAAAACGGGUGAAAAACCCGUUCGCCGGAAGACCAAGGGUUCCUGUCCAACGUUAAUCGGGGCAGGGUGAGUCGGCCCCUAAGGCGAGGCUGAAAAGCGUAGUCGAUGGGAAACGGGUUAAUAUUCCCGUACUUGGAUAAACUGCGAUGUGGGGACGGAGCAGGUUAGGUUAUCGCACUGUUGGAUAUGUGCGUUUAAGUUGGUAGGUGUGAAGUUUAGGCAAAUCCGGACUUCUAUAACACCGAGAGAUGAUGACGAGGCUCUACGGAGCUGAAGUAACCGAUACCACACUUCCAGGAAAAGCCACUAAGCUUCAGGUUUAUCUAAACCGUACUGAAAACCGACACAGGUGGUCAGGUAGAGAAUACUCAGGCGCUUGAGAGAACUCGGGUGAAGGAACUAGGCAAAAUAGCACCGUAACUUCGGGAGAAGGUGCGCCGGCGUAGAUUGUAGUCCCUUGCGGGCGAAGGUUGAACCGGUCGAAGAUACCAGCUGGCUGCAACUGUUUAUUAAAAACACAGCACUCUGCAAACACGAAAGUGGACGUAUAGGGUGUGAUGCCUGCCCGGUGCUGGAAGGUUAAUUGAUGGUGUAAUCGAAAGAGAAGCUCCUGAUCGAAGCCCCAGUAAACGGCGGCCGUAACUAUAACGGUCCUAAGGUAGCGAAAUUCCUUGUCGGGUAAGUUCCGACCUGCACGAAUGGCAUAAUGAUGGCCAGGCUGUCUCCACCCGAGACUCAGUGAAAUUGAAAUCGCCGUGAAGAUGCGGUGUACCCGCGGCUAGACGGAAAGACCCCGUGAACCUUUACUAUAGCUUGACACUGAACAUUGAAUUUUGAUGUGUAGGAUAGGUGGGAGCCUUUGAAGCAGUCACGCCAGUGAUUGUGGAGGCGUCCUUGAAAUACCACCCUUUAACGUUUGAUGUUCUAACGAAGAUUACGAAACGUGGUCUCGGACAGUGUCUGGUGGGUAGUUUGACUGGGGCGGUCUCCUCCCAAAGAGUAACGGAGGAGCACGAAGGUUUGCUAAUGACGGUCGGACAUCGUCAGGUUAGUGCAAUGGUAUAAGCAAGCUUAACUGCGAGACAGACAAGUCGAGCAGGUACGAAAGUAGGUCAUAGUGAUCCGGUGGUUCUGAAUGGAAGGGCCAUCGCUCAACGGAUAAA
rnacentral:rRNA from 1 species